AACGCACCUUGCGCUCCAUGGUAUUCCGAGGAGCAUGCCUGUUUGAGUGUCAUGAAAACCCUCAACCCUAGAUUGGUUAAAACCUUUCUUUGGUUUGGAUUUGGACGUUUGCCGACGACAAGUCGGCUCGUCUUAAAAGUAAUAGCUGGAUCUGUCCCGCGACAUGGUUUGACUUGGCGUAAUAAGUAUUUCGCUAAGGACAUCUUCGGAUGGCCGCGUUGCAGGACUAAAGACCGCUUUCUAAUCCAUUGAUCUUCGGAUUAAUACUCUUGACAUCUGGCCUCAAAUCAGGUAGGACUACCCGCUGAACUUAA
rnacentral:misc_RNA from 1 species